CGCGACUUUCACCCGACAAGCGUCGCCGAUUUUGACUGCGGUACGUUGUACGAUGUGUGGUGGACCGGCGAUGACUACAUCUCCGGCGGCUACUAUAAAGCCAAAUUGCUCCACCUGACAGAAACGUCGGAGGAAAUGGAUUUGUUCCUCAGCAAGAGGCCUAGGAAGCCCAUAAACUCCACUGAAACAAAAGGAAAAAAGAGGACAAAAGGGAAGCCCGCACCAUCAACCAAGCAGCUUCGUCUCGAAACUCAAAGCACAGUUGAGGCGGAGCUUGCAGCUCAGAUUGAAGGAGUUGGCACACCGAAAUGCACAUGUUGCAGUGACGGCUGUGGCCAACUAGAUGAAGCGCAAAAAGAAAUUGCUCUUCUGAGAGAGGAGCUACUAGCUCAAAAAUCGAGCUUCCUCAAAAAAAUAGAGGAGCUGGAGAAAAGGUUGAACAGCACUCUGGAUAUGAAUGUAGAGCUGCAAAAAGCUCUGACAUCGAAGAUUUUUA